rnacentral:rRNA from 1 species
GACGAACGCUGGCGGCGUGCUUAACACAUGCAAGUCGAACGAUGAAACCUAGCUUGCUAGGUCGAUUAGUGGCGAACGGGUGAGUAACACGUGACUAACCUGCCCCUUUCUCUGGGAUAACGCUCCGAAAGGAGUGCUAAUACCGGAUACUCACAUCGAGGCACAUGUCGUGAUGUGGAAAGUUUUUCGGAAAGGGUUGGAGUAGCGGCCUAUCAGCUUGGUGGUGAGGUAACGGCUCACCAAGGCGACGACGGGUAGCCGGGCUGAGAGGGGGACCGGCCCCACUGGGGCUGAGAAACGGCCCAGACUGCUACGGGGGGCAGCAGUGGGGAAUAUUGCACAAUGGGGGCAAGCCUGAUGCAGCGACGCCGCGUUAGGGAUGGAGGUCUUCGGAUUGUAAACCUCUUUCAGUAGGGACGAAGCGAAAGUGACGGUACCUAAAGAAGAAGCACCGGCUAACUACGUGCCAGCCGCCGCCGUAA